rnacentral:rRNA from 1 species
AACGUAGGAACCGAGCGUUAUCCGAAUUCACUGGGCGUAAAGCGCAUGCAGGCGGUACGUUAAGUUGGAUGUGAAAGCUCCCGGCUCAACUGGGAGAGGACGUACAAAACUGGCGAACUAGAGGGCGGCAGAGGGAGGUGGAAUUCCCGGUGUAGUGGUGAAAUGCGUAGAUAUCGGGAGGAACACCAGAGGCGAAGGCGGCCUCCUGGGCCGCGCCUGACGCUAAGAUGCGAAAGCUAGGGGAGCAAACGGGAUUAGAUACCCCUGUA